UCUCAGCUUUAUUUUUGCAGUGCAGUGACCACAUGCCUUGUGAAGAGUUGGUGCAGGCGUGUAACACAUCGAAGUUCCUUCUCAUCCCCUUCCCCUCCCUUCAUCUCUCGAUCCCCUUCCCUUUGCUGAAAGAUCUAUCUCUGUCUCCUAUUGCCUGCUUUUUAUUUUGUUCAUUCACUUAUUUAUACUUUGGGUUUCUUAUAUAAAAUAAACCAUAUUUAAACUUGUGUGUCUGAUUCAUUUCACUUAACCUAGGGUCUCAAGAUGCAGCCAUUUUCCUACAAAUGACACAAGUUUAUCCUUCUUUUGGUACUGGGGAUUGAACUCAGGACCUUGAGCUUGCAAGGCAGGCUUCGGUGCCACUCAGCUAAAUCCCCACCCUGUUUAUCCUUCUUUGUGGAAGAGUAGUACUCCAUUGGGGUGUAAAUAUGAGCGUUUUCUUUAGCCACUCAUCUGCUAAUGGAUAUACGGGCUAUUUGCAAGAUUUAGCUGUUAUGAAUUGUGCUGCUAUAAAAAUGGGUGUGCAUGGAUCACUGUAAUAGGAUGCCUUUAACUCUUUCCGGAAGACACCUAGAAGGGGAAUAGCUGGGUGGAAUGGAAUUUCUCAUGUUGGUUCUUUGAGGAAUCUCCACCCCAAUUUCUACAGUGCUUGCACCAAUCUGUGUUUCUGCUGCAAUUCUGUGGUUCCUGGUCAGGGCUCUGCACCCACCUGUGUGUGUGGCUAGGCUUUCUCCUUAGUGUCCCACCCUCUUGGCUGAAGAGGUCCUGCCUGUCUUUUGCCCCGACAGACCCUGCAGAACAACUGCGCCCAGAGGGGAUGCCCGCCUUGCACACCACGGCUGAGCGCCCUUCCUGAACCCCAGAGUUGGCGCCCAGGCCCCAGCCCUGUCCGCCCCCAGCCCGGGCAGCCUGGCCCUGCCCUGCCUGUGUAGAUCUCCAGCCCUCCUGCCCAGGUUGCCUGUGCCCUCCCGGCUGAGCCCAGCCCUGGCCUCUGGCAGGGACACACUGCUGGUUCCCUAGGACUCCUGUCACAGGAGGCCAGGCUCCCUGAGACCCCUGCUUUGUGUCUUCUCUCUGUGUCUCCCCACACUCUGAGCUGCAGCCGGCCGCUGUACCUCGGGCCGUCUCUCCCCUCCACCCAGGAAGCCUGCGCCUUGGUGUGGUCCAGGGCACCAAGUAGGGCUGAAGAAGGCGCCAUGGAAGCUGGCCAGCCUUCCGGAUGAGGGGAGGGCGGCCAGGAAAGUGCUCAGCCAGGGCCCGCGGAGGAGUGGGGACAGAGCUUGGCUCAGACGCUGGCGUCAGAGCCCCACAUGGAGACGGGGUGCGGGUGUCCAGGGACAUCGGGCAAGCCAAGGACCACAGCAGGCCACCCCUGCUGCUGCUUCCGUGUCUCCGGGGCUCUUCUCCCUCCUCAGGGAGCCGCCAUCUCCAGUGCCCACCUGGGCGCAGCCACUACCGAAUCCUUGGGGCUUUCGGGUCCCAGAGGCCCGGACUGGGCUACAGCCCUCCCACGGUACCAGCUUGCCUUGGUUUCUCCUGGAUGCAGCGGAGGAGGUGGAUGGUGGACGGGGAUUCCCCACAGGAAUCCAGGCCACACCCAACUCGAGGCCCCUCUGCCCCUAUUGUCCUCAUUUAUCCUCCGCAUCCAAUUAGAACAAAGAAAUCUGAACAGACCCUGGCUUUUGAACUGGGUGUCAGAAGCAUGGAGACUCCGGGGUGUUUGGGAUUGUGGGGACCAUCCUGCUGGGCUGGGUGCCGGUGGGGGGGACCGUGGACCGGGACCUGGAGAGAGGGGAUGGAUGGCGGGGGUAUUGUGGCCUCAGAGCAGCUCUCAAGGGUGUUCAGACUCUGAGAGGGGGCCGGUGAGGGAAGAAGGGGAGGGGACCAGACUCCGCCUCCCACCCUGGAGAUGCGGCCGCGUCCCUCAGAGCUUCAAGGACUCCAGCUCCUCUGCCCCCACCUGCCCAGGCUCCGGCUCUGUGCCCCUAGGGCCCCACUGCCUGAGCCCUGGGGGACACGGUGACCCUCACAGAGCCACAGCUGGACUUCAGGUCCCACCCCUGGCUGGCAUUGAACAUCAUCGCCAGGAAGCCCUCACCCUGCCGGGGGGGACAGCUGGACAUUCAGCCAGCGGCACUGGCCCUCGUCACGGGCCAGCACCACUG
ensembl:lncRNA